AACGAACGCUGGCGGCAUGCCUAACACAUGCAAGUCGAACGGGACCUUCGGGACUAGUGGCGCACGGGUGCGUCACGUGUGGGACCCUUCCCUUAGGAUCGGAAAUCCACCUCUUAGGGGGGGCUAAUGCCGGAUAAUUUCUUCGGACAAAGUAUUUAUCCUCUUUGGAUGGGCCCGAGUUGGUUUGGCUGGUUGGGAGGGGAAAAGCCUAUCACGGCGACGCUACCUAGCUGGGUUGAGAGGCUGAUCAGCCACACUGGGAGGAGGACACGGCCCCGACUACUACGGGAGGCAGCAGUGGGGAAUAUUGGAAAAUGGGCUAAAGCCUGAUCCCGCAAUGCCGCGUGAGUGAUGAAGGCCUUAGGGUUGUAAAGCUCUUUUACCCGGGAUGAUACUGACGGUACCGGGAGAAUAAGCUCCGGCUAACUCCGUG
rnacentral:rRNA from 1 species